AGAUUCGGGCGAUCUCGUCGAGAUCGACUCCCGAACAGUCAGAAUUGAUGAUUUAAUUCAAUGGUUUAAUCGAUGGUUUAAUUAUAGACAACCGUGAUUAAUCGCAAUGACGUGACGGAAUGCAUUAUGGAACUAUUCAAUGUUUUCCACGGUGAUCUCUCUUUUAAUUACUCUGAGAUACGGACUCUUUAAAUCGCAUCUUUAGAUUGCGUACAAACGUGACUCUAAUUAUUUCAACGUUAUUAAUCAUCUCGAAGAAAUACAAAAUUUCUGAGAUUUUUUCUAAAGAAGAAAAUGUGAUAGAGUUCUUUAUGCGAUAAGAAUAACCGAUAACAUGGUUCGAGGUGCGAUAAUAAGGACAUUAAUAAAAGUCAGCUUAUUCUGUCUCUAUUGUUUGCUGGGUCCAUUCUUCAAAUUACGAGGUUUGAAGAAAAAACGGCUAUGUCCGCCGAUUGAUAAUCAAAUAUUGUUCCAAUCGGCGACGGAAAUCGCGCGGAGAAUCCGCAGAAGAGAAAUUGGUUGCGAAGAAGUGAUCACCGCGUACGUGAAGCGAUGCAAGAAAGUGAAUCCGUUGAUCAACGCGAUCGUGGAGGAUCGCUUCGAGGCGGCGGUUCGAGAAGCGCGUGAUAUCGACGAUUUUUUAAAAUCAACGACAAUGGACGAGGCGAGAAUUGCGAGCGAGAAACCGCUGCUGGGUCUACCUGUUACGAUUAAGGAAAGUAUUGCUGUUCAAGGUGAGUCACAUAUUUCAAUCCGUUCUAAUAUAACAAGUAUGCAUACGUUUCGACGAAUUUUAAUGAUUUUAUUUAUGUAAUAUUAUUAUUACGACACACA